rnacentral:misc_RNA from 1 species
GAUGAAGAACGUAGCGAAUUGCGAUAAGUAAUGUGAAUUGCAGAAUUCAGUGAAUCAUCGAAUCUUUGAACGCACCUUGCGCCCUUUGGCUAUUCUGAAGGGCAUGCCUGUUUGAGUAUCGUGAACACCUCAACUCUCAUGGUCUGCCAUGAUGAGCUUGGACUUUGGGGGUCUUGCUGGCCUACUGUCAGCUCCUCUCAAAUGAAUCAGCUUACCAGUGUUUGGUGGCACCACAGGUGUGAUAACUAUCUACGCUUGUGGUUUUCUGCCAGGUAACCUCCAGUGAUGGAGGUUCGCUGGAGCUCACAAAUGUCUCUCCUCAGCGAGGACAGCUUUUUGAACGUUUGAUCUCAAAUCAGGUAGGACUACCCGCUGAACUUAAGCAUAUCAAUAAGCGGAGGA